rnacentral:rRNA from 1 species
CCUACGGGAGGCAGCAGUGAGGAAUAUUGGUCAAUGGGCGAGAGCCUGAACCAGCCCAAGUAGCGUGCAGGAUGACGGCCCUAUGGGUUGUAAACUGCUUUUAUAAGGGAAUAAAGUGAGUCUCGUGAGGCUUUUUGCAUGUACCUUAUGAAUAAGGACCGGCUAAUUCCGUGCCAGCAG